UACGUAGGGAGCAAGCGUUGUCCGGAAUCAUUGGGCGUAAAGCGCGCGUAGGCGGCCCUGUAAGUCCGUUGUGAAAGUCAAAGGCUCAACCUUUGAAAGCCGAUGGAUACUGCAGGGCUAGAGUCCGGAAGAGGCGAGUGGAAUUCCUGGUGUAGCGGUGGAAUGCGCAGAUAUCAGGAGGAACACCACUAGCGAAGGCAGCUCGCUGGGACGGUACUGACGCUAAGGCGCGAAAGCGUGGGGAGCGAACAGG
rnacentral:rRNA from 1 species